rnacentral:lncRNA from 1 species
AAUUAAUAUUAGUGUAAAUUUAUUUUCUUCCUGGCUACGCUUUUCUUGAAAGAUGACUCUUAGGAUGUUUUUCUUUUUAACAUGUUUUGGUUUUUGCUACUUAAUAUGGAUAGAACAGUAAUUUUCCCAAGGAUUUCAGAGCCACUAAGACUUAGCUUCUAUUCAGUCUUUCAAAAUCUCUUAAGUCUUUUAGAAUUAGAUGACCUACCUAUGUUGAGGUUUAGCCAUGAGAUGUUUUAAGCUUGGAAGUUAAGGCAGAAUUAAAGAUACUUUAUGCAUUUGCCCAUACUAAUGAAAAGGAUUCCUUGAAAUGUUAGUCAGAACUUCUGUAAAAGAACCUAGAAAAAUACGUACCAUAUAAACUGUUCUUUGGAAUUUUCUACCUUUAGCUAAGUGUUAGGCGGAAAAAUACUAAAGAGAUGUUUGGUGGCUUCUUCAAAAGUGUGGUGAAAAGUGCUGAUGAAGUCCUUUUUACUGGAGUUAAGGAGGUAGAUGACUUCUUUGAGCAAGAGAAGAACUUCCUUGUUAACUAUUACAAUAGGAUCAAAGAUUCUUGUGUGAAAGCUGACAAAAUGACCAGAUCUCAUAAAAGUAAAUAUCAUUUACCAUUAGUAACUUAGAGCUUUGCUGAUGGGCCUGGCUAUUGUUUGGAUAAAAAGAGCUGUCCUUGUUUCUACAGAUGUUGCCGAUGACUACAUCCACACUGCAGCCUGCUUACAUAGCCUGGCUUUAGAAGAGCCCACAGUCAUCAAAAAGUAAGUUUUUUUGGAAAAGCAUUUCCUCUAACUUAAUUGAAGAGUGCUGAGUGGUAUAACUAAAAGCAUAAAUGAGUAAAGACUACCAUGGUUUCCAUCCUGCUGUGGAGUUACAGGCUCACUAAGGCAAGUCUCCAGCACUCAUCUUACAUGUUCUCUGUACAUAAGACACUUGUAAGACAAUUGUAGGGGACUUGGGCUCUUCUACAUACAAACAAAUACGGUUAAUAUGGUCAAAGCAGUAGUUUCUGUCACACUUAAAAAGCCUGUUUGCUCUAGUUUUGGGGGUUGAGAGAGUUUAUCUGGCGAUUGGUGCUUGCCAUUUUGCCUGCCUGGUAAUGCCCUGGACCACCCUUUUGGGCUGGGAUGCAGCCCCAGGAGAUCCUGAGAACGUGUGCCUCUCUCCCUGGAUCUUGAAGAGAUUUGGUUAUGAUGGUCUGAAGAAUAAUGUAAUGACCUCAGUCUGAUACACAGCUGGUUUGAUGCACA